rnacentral:piRNA from 1 species
CUUGUCACCCAUUAGUUGCCUGUA